rnacentral:rRNA from 1 species
CUGAGCCUACGGGGGGCAGCAGUGGGGAAUAUUGGGCAAUGGGCGCAAGCCUGACCCAGCAACGCCGCGUGAAGGAAGAAGGCUUUCGGGUUGUAAACUUCUUUUCUCAGGGACGAAGAAAGUGACGGUACCUGAGGAAUAAGCCACGGCUAACUACGUGCCAGCAGCCGCGGUAAUACGUAGGUGGCAAGCGUUAUCCGGAUUUACUGGGUGUAAAGGGCGUGUAGGCGGGGAAGCAAGUCAGAUGUGAAAACCA